rnacentral:rRNA from 1 species
UACGAAGGCCCCGAGCGUUAUCCGGAUUCAUUGGGUUUAAAGGGUGCGUAGGUGGAAUGAUAAGUCAGUGGUGAAAUCUUGCAGCUCAACUGUAAAACUGCCAUUGAUACUGUUGUUCUUGAGUGUAGUUGAUGUGGGCGGAAUAUGUCAUGUAGUGGUGAAAUACUUAGAUAUGACAUAGAACACCGAUUGCGAAGGCAGCUCACAAAGCUAUUACUGACACUGAGGCACGAAAGCGUGGGGAUCAAACAGG